UGUUUGCUUGCUUGUAUAGUCUAAGCUGGUUAAAGAGAAAGUUUCGAAAAAUGGGGUUGAAGAAAAGACUUGGUGAUGCCCCAGAUGAAAGAUAGAGGUGUUAAUGCAAACCCCAUACAAGCUCCGUCGUUUGCUAACCAGAAAGUAUGAGAUAUGUGUUGGAAGAGACGUAGUUGAUGAGAUCAAUUGAUCCUGAAGGAGUGUUACUGAGAAGGAAGCGACAACUCUGAAGAAGAGUGUACUACAGCAAAGGACCGAACUAUAUAUGGCAUAUAGAUGGAUACGAUAAAUUAAACGAUAAAUUAAAGCCGUAUGGACUCUGCAUCCAUGCCUGUGUUGAUGGUUACUCAAGGAAGCUAAUAUGGUUUAAGGUUGGUCCAACGAACAACAACCCCAAAGUCAUUGCCAGGUAUUACCUUGAAGCUGUGGAAAGACUGAAGGGAUGCCCUAUGGUAGUAAGAGGAGACUGUGGAACUGAAAACUGUAGUGUUGCCCAAAUCCAAAUUGCCUUUCAUAUGAAUCAUGAUGACGACCAAUCAAAAGUUUCAUUUAUGGUCCUUCAACAGCUAACAUACGAGUUGAGGCAUUCUGGUCUCAGUGGUCUCAGUGGAGACGCUCUUGUUGUCAUUGGUGGAUAGAUGUUUGCAAGGUGAGAUUAUUUUUAAUUAAAUUUUACAGCGAACUUCAGCUGAGGAAACACAUGGUAUUUUCGCAGCUAUCUCUUUGUAGUUGCCUUCAUCAACACCCUGCCAACCUUGAAGUGGUAGAGGAAGGGAGGUCCAGUGGAGCUACUGAAACACCUUCAGCAAGGUAGCCGUCAACGUCAAUAACUACAGCUCCCGAGAGUAGUUACACUAAACACACAGUUACACUAAACACACAGAUUCGUCCUAUAUCUGCUAUUUACCUUUCAACAAGUUCCGCUUUUUUCUGUCAGUACCUCAGUGCUUGGUUGUUGUGUUGUUCUAACGGUGAAGCACCAGGAAUGUCAUCCUCAGUAAGUUCAACGUCAACACAUCCACCUUCAGCCAUAUCAUGUGCAUGUACGUACCAUCAAGAGUUUAAUAAAGAGUUUAAUAAACACUCUACAGCUGCUUGCUAGCUACCAGCUGCUAAAAGAGUACAUUACUCAUAGUCAGCCUUACCUUAACCUGUGUUCUUGUAAGUGCUAUUUUCUUUGAGGUGUAGCUCCUCUCUGUGCGCUUGAUUCUUGUACCGUUCAACCUUAAAAGUUCAAAUUUUCAUUUAGUAUUGCAUAAAUUGAUCAAGCACAUGGCAACUAAAGUGACACAGUUGAUAGUAAAAUGGGCGUGGCAGCAAGCACUUCCGUCUGUCCACAAACAACACUAUCAAAGGACAACGUUUUCGCAUCAUACAAAAUAAAAUAAUCCUUUGUAUUGCUUUGUCCAUAUUGCUUUGUCCAAACUCCAUCUAAAUAGUAAAUGUGUGAUCAUUGUCCCAUUUGAUUGAGAAUCAUACAACUUAAUUUUUUGUAUCGAUACUUUUUUUUUUGCAUUCCGAGAUACAACUGUCUAGCAGGUGCUGUGAUGUGAACUGGCUAUCUCAACGUUGCAUCCCGUUGCAUCACCUCGCAUGAUUCGCUAAUGAUGAAAAUCCAGUUUGAUGACAAUACACUCCAUCUUGACUCCAUCUUGUUGUCGUUUUCAGGAUGAUGGCCCAAAAUGAUAUGUGUGUUGGAUCAAUCUCGGUAGAUGACGAGGUGAAUUUGUCUAAACUUUCACAACUGUCAAUAACUGACAACUGUCAAUAACUGUCAAUGCACAACUACUCAGUUGGAGUCUUGCCAGGAGCGCAUGGAAGUUGUUCAGAUCAUUGUACAGAUCAUUGUAUGCCAAUGAAAUGAAAAGGGACCUUAAUGCAGCAAUAAUUAAAUUAAGCAAAACAUGGGCUUUUUUCCUUCCUCUACCUACACGUUGAAGAAAACACGUUGAAGAAAAGAAACUCACCGAACGUACAAUGAAAUUUAUGUCUGAAAUUCCUUGGGAAAAUCAGUACUUCUUCACAAUUACAGGCCCCUUCCGAAGCCUCCACAACCUCCACCACCGUGAGUUUAGUCCAAUCACUAUAAUUAUUUAUAGUUAUUAUGAAUAAGAAGAAGAAGUCCAAGCGUGUCAGGAAACAGGGGGUACGUACCACCCUGAUCCUCACUGACCCUCACCAGGUGAGUUUACCAAGUCAUUACUUGAGACCUGAUCUACCGACUUCACCUGAUCUACCUGAUCUACCGACUCCCAAGAGGAAGAAGACGAUGUAACUUAUGACAAUGAUGGCUACUUAUGGAUCAAAGGAAUUCGUUACGGCAAAACGUGAACAAUUUUACUCUUAUUUUAAUCUCAUUUCAUUGUUAUUUUGUUAUUAAUUAAUUUUGUUCUGCAUUUAUCAUUAUAUAUGGCAUUUAUCAUCAUUAUAGUGAUGAGGAGGAAGAGGAAGAGACCUACUGUCGCUACCGUCAAUAGAAUGCCCAUACAACAAGGGUGCAACAUGUGUUGCCAUAACAACCAUGGUUAUUACGCUCACCCGUUUUUAUCAUUUUAAAUGCCCGGCCAGCGGUGAGAUAAAAUCCAAAGAGAUAAAAUCCAAAAAUUUUUUUUUUAUGGAUCAGCCUAUCAUAUGGUAUAAAGGCUUGACUAAGCUUGAUUUUCACAUCAUAUGAAUGUAACAGUGCUAAGAUAUAUCUAUAUCGGUGAACGAUCUAUGAAAUUUACAAACUGUUCAUUACUGCUAAUUCUAUUUUAGCUAUACUAUACUUACACUACUGAUAUUCUAGCUAUACUAUACUACUUGCCAGAGUCACACAGUGAGCCCUCUCCUGGUCUUUCACCGUCCUGGUCCAUAGCACUAGCGUCUAGGUCCAUGUCAUGCACAUGUCCUCAGUCCCAGACAGUUCAUCAGCGUCUGGCAUAAAGCUGGUAGCCGGUAUCCAUAGGCACUGUCAUCACCAGAGCUGUUCAAGCACAUCGGCACAAGUAAACAAUCUAGCCAUAGCUUCGUGCGGUAAGAUGCUAAUGAAAUUUUAACAUAGCAACGUGGCUUGGAAAAUUCUAGACUAAAUUGCACGUGAUUCUACAGCUCUUCCUCUAUACAGGGAUGUGCGUAGUUCGAGCUACUUCCGAAGUAUCGCAGAAUUAGAAUUUUGCAAAAAAGUCACAACUACCCGUGGGCCCCAAAUUGAGGGUGGAAGUUUUUGAGGGCAAAGGAAGAGGAGUUGCCCUUGAGGCAAUACCGAAGGGGUCCUUCGUGUGUGAGUACGUGGGCAAGCUGCUCAAUUUUGCAUUGACGAAGGCUGCAGAGAAAGCCUAUGAGCAGCAGGGAGUCGGAUGCUACAUGUAUUAUUUUAAGGAUGACUCCAAGUGAAUGUGGUGAGCCUAAUUUAUAUUAUGUAUAAUUUCAUAUAUUUAAAUUAAAAUUAAUAGUAUUGAUGCCACUAAAAAAGGCCGUUUGAUAAAUCACUCUCGCUUAGCACCAAAUUUAAUCCCCAAGAAAUUUGGUGAAGAGCUGCUGUACGAUUAUGGAGAGGAAGACAGAGAUGUCAUAGGGGGGUGGACUGGACCACCUCCAUAAAACAAAAAAAAAGGGGGGUGAGAGGCGACAGCCUCCAUAACCAAAAUG